rnacentral:rRNA from 1 species
CCUACGGGCGGCAGCAGUGGGGAAUAUUGGACAAUGUGCGAAAGCCUGAUCCAGCCAUGCCGCGUGUGUGAAGAAGGCCUUCGGGUUGUAAAGCACUUUCAGUGGGGAAGAAAGCCUUGGGGCUAAUACCCUCGAGGAAGGACAUCACCCACAGAAGAAGCACCGGCUAACUCCGUGCCAGCAGCCGCGGUAAUACGGAGGGUGCGAGCGUUAAUCGGAAUUACUGGGCGUAAAGCGCGCGUAGGCGGUCUGAUAAGCCGGUUGUGAAAGCCCCGGGCUCAACCUGGGAACGGCAUCCGGAACUGUCAGGCUAGAGUGCAGGAGAGGAAGGUAGAAUUCCCGGUGUAGCGGUGAAAUGCGUAGAGAUCGGGAGGAAUACCAGUGGCGAAGGCGGCCUUCUGGACUGACACUGACGCUGAGGUGCGAAAGCGUGGGUAGCAAACAGGAUUAGAUACCCUAGUAGUC